AGGACCGGUCAACUUGUUUUCUGUUCUUCAUUUUAUCUGCAUCCUGAGGCUCAAUUACUUCAGCAGCCUUCUCAUCAUCAGUAGCUUUCACUUCAGUAUUCGCUUUUGCAUCUACUCUCUCUUCACAGUCUGAUGAUGAUGAAGUAGGUGAUUUAGAUGCUGAAUGCUGACCUGGCAAAGCUUCAGAGUAUUCAGGGUAUAGUCGUUCAUCCUGAGUAGUUAGGGCUAGAUCAGUUUUAUCUUUUUGUUCCAUAUUUGCAGCUGGAAUUUGACCAUUCUCCAUUGGUGGAACUGCAGCAGUGGAUGCAGGAGCACAGGUAAAGCCUGUGUGCAGAGGAGCACAUAUAGGAAGCAGUCCAUGGGCGGUCCACCAUGCAGUGGCAGCUGCUACUGUUGCAGCAGCAAUUGCGGCCAUACUAGGAGCAGAGUUCAUUUGUGUAGAUGGGAAACCUCUUAGUUCAUUUGCAGGAGAAUCGCCAGAACUUUCAAUGUUUGCAUAUGGCCAAAAUGUAGCUGCAAAACUUGCUGCAGCAUGAGCAGCUGGAUUCUGUAACAAAGUAGAUACAAUGAGAUUGGAAAAAGUGGAGCUGACAUGUAGAAAGGAUCGAUACUCCUCUUGAUCGGGCCGAAGAUGUAUAAAGGGAGUAUGAAAAGGUGGCAAUGCCUGAUGAGUAGAUUUUGGUGCAUUAUUCUUAUGUUCAGUAGUUGCUGAUGCAGCUGGAUUUGCAAACAGGUUAGGUCCAUGAACAUUGCCCGUAGGGUGAAAUACAGAAUCUUGAAAUGACAUACCCAGGGAAGGAUUUUGAACACAUGUUCUAAGGCUUCCAUCUAGGACAUGCACAGCAACAUGCCGAGGAUAAUUUUGAGCAGCUUGCAUCUCAUCUGCACAAAAAUCACCAUCCAAAUCAUCUUUUCUCUGGCCUUGAGCUGAUUUCUCAUAUGAAGUGCAAGACUUCUCCAAGUUUGAAGCCUUACUUGUACCAUUAUCAUGAAAUGUCUGUUGGACAUUAAGUUUAUAAGGUUCACAAAUUUCUUUAAGUUCAAGAAUAACAUAGAAUUCAUGUUUUUCAUGAUUUACUACCUCUUUUGGCAAAGGUACAAACUCCCUGAAUGUACAAGAGCUUUUGAGUGCAGUUGACAUUGGUAUAAAAUUCUUAUUCAUGGAAGACGCAGAGGAGCAGUUUUGUUCGUGGAGAAGGGUAAAAACCUCAGAGCAACUCUGGUCUUGAUUUUCUUUCAGGUUUGUAGCCUUUUCAUCUCCAGUAGGUCUCUGACAAACACAAUAUAUUUGAAGCUUACGUUAAAAAGGAGAAAAGAAAAAGAACAUAAUUAAGAGCAUGAAUAAAGUAGUUGAGGAGGAGAAAGAAACCUCCGGAAGUGGUUCUUUCUCCAAGUCCAACAUUUGCUUGCAACGCAAAGAAGAUAAUGGCAUUUCAGAUUUUCCAUCCUUAGCUCCCUCUUGUACUGUAGUAGCAGCACCAGUUUUUCGAGGAUAAGGAUUGCUUGGUUUUCUUUUAGGGCGUGGAGGUGGAAUCUCUAUGUCAAGAGCUUGACCUAUUGGUACACCUUUAGCAAGUGCCUCCUUCUCCAACUGAGAAUGGAUUAUUGUCAGUAGCAUCAAUAAAAUGAUAAAACAUAAGAGAAAUCUUACGAGUUUUUGGAGGCACCAAUGAAGCAUCAAUAUAAUAUUAACAAUGUGCAACACUAAAAUUAAUGAUAGGAAUGACAUAACUAAAUGCAACAUGAUCAUAUCUAACCAGUAUAAUUCCAAAUAUUAUCAGGAAACAAGAAGUCCAAGUAUAUAAUUGCUCUACAAUCUACAAAUAUCUCACACAGGAGGUUCAUACAAAAUUUUAUACUCCUGUUGUCAAUUAAUAUGGCCUGUUUUAUAACAUUAGAUUAGAUUAGAUUCUUCUUUUAUCCUUUCAUCCCAUAACAUGUCUGCUCAAGACUCGUCAGCAAUAUAAUACUUGAAUGUAGCAGACAUAAACACAGCCCACAGUUGAACAUAUACAUAGACAAAGAUUGACUAAAUAAAAAAGGGGGGGCUGGUUUAGCCGAGCAGUCAGUUCUGCUCGGCUAAACCAACCCCCCAUUUUACUAGGAGAAGAGAGGAUUAGCUGUAUUUAGAUGAAAAGAAAAUUACCAGUGGUUUCUUAAGAAACACAGUUUAGGUACUGCAUAAAUAAGAUUAAUCAAACCAUCUAUAAUGUUCAUUGUCAUGUAAAAUUGAGAUCAUUAAAGGUUAGGACUUCAGACUGAAGAAAGUAUUUGAUAAAGCUUUAACCAUAAUAUUCUUGAACAAUCUUCAUUUGCUUACUGUCCUGAUAAGAUUUAUCACUCACGAGCUAAUCGAGAUAAAAAUGUUAUGCAUGCAUUUGUUUGCGACAUCAGAAAUAUGAAAAGGAAAAAAAGAAGGAAGUAAUGCAUUACCAUGUACCUAACUUUAACAUAAUUGGCAGGUGACUGCCGAUAACCUGCAGGAAAUAAGUCUUUAAGAGAAGAAUCCAGUAAAAUCUUACUUUUACUGAAGAUGUAUACUUAAGGAGGAUAAUCGCUUAAGACAGACCUAUAGGAUGCAUACCUCAAAUCAAACAUCAUAAUUAGCUACAAGGCACAUCUAACAGACAUGCUGCUGUGAGCUUGGCUGCAAAACUUAAGGUACUAUGGGGAAGAUUGAUCCCAGUAUGAUCACCUAGAAGGUAUAAUAUAGUUUCAAUUAGGACUUAUCUUUCUGAUUAAAAGAAAAAUAUGCAGAUCAGAAUUUUAUGUUCCACAUUACUAGGAAAGGAAAUUAGUUGUAUCAUAAAUGAUAACAUCUAUAUAGAAGGUAUGAUCCUUAAGCAUAAAUGAGUACCCAUCUUGCAUUUCAAGCUCUCCCAAUUCCCAGAAAUGGAAGAACAAAAAUAAAAUUCAUUUUUUAGAUCUAACGAGUAUCUGGCUCACACCAGCAAUAUGGCUAAUGUUUGAAGAGAUUUCUCACCAGUAAUCUAAAGUUCUAAACACAUCAACAAACUCUAUAAUUCAACAAAUUCGUGUCAUCCCUGCUAGUACUAACUACUACUCAUCAUAUCCACUCUAAUGUUAGAUAAGAUCAUUUGGUAUUAUGAGAUCAACAUCUUCAACAGCCCUAAACUAAGUAGAUAUAAGCCCUAAACUUCCACCACAUAAAGGAGAUAAUAAAAAGUAGGCAAUAAAAUGCAAAAAAGAUAUAAGCCCUUGAGAUAUUGUCUUGAAAGGAUGUGAAACUUGCCACUAUAAAAGCUUUUAACAAAAAAAUGAUCCUAAAAUCAAAAGCUAUAAGCUAUCAAAUUUACCCUAACUGCAGAUUCAUUGCCAACCUUGGAUGCUGAUGAAUUGAACUAUUAGCAACCUUGAGAUGCUCUACACAUAAAGGAUACACUAAGCGGUAAUUCUAACUUGCAAUGACUAGCAUACUGGCCAUGGAUGCUAAAGAUUUCAGUUUAAACCAGAACCAAAAUCUAUGCAUAUAAUAUAGCAACAAAGAACAUGAUAGGUGGGCUCACCCCAAAUUCACUUCCUAGUUCUAUACCUCAUAAUGAUGUAUUUUCACUCUGUAUACAAACUCACUUCUUAGUUCUUACUAUACCUCAUAAUGGUGUGUUUUCACUCUCUAUACAAAUUUAGACUACAUGUAUCUACAUGACCCUUUUAUCCAAAGAAACCAAAUAUUUUAACUUUCAAAACCUCUGCUGUGGUAGGUUAAGUACAAAAUUGCUUCAGCAAGUUCCCAGACAAGAGGAUGCCUUGCACAUAAAAGGUUAGUGAAGGGCACAUUAGAAAAAAACCUUUUAUGACAACUUAAAAAACCAAAAAUGCCCUUUUUUAUUUCGGACUCCAAGGGUGAUAAACCAUCUUGCGCAGCCAAUUUCGUACAGAGACCAAAUAAAGAGAAUUCAAAUAGCUUACAUCCCCAAAAUCAAAUUCGUAGGGAAGAUAAAAGGCUAUCACCCUAAAUACGGUUUAAAUAUUUAGCAGCUCAGAUUCUUAUUUAACUCAAGUUGCUGCCUUUUCUAUAUAUAUUAAUAAACAAACUCCAGUGUACUUCUUUACAUAGUUGGUUAUAAUUUUGAUCGGUCAUAUAUGAUUGAUGUUUUUGACACAGAAAGCUAUACAUUCGCUUCGUAUAUUUUCUUUGUUGUUUUAAAUCUAACAAAUUUGUUUAUACAAGUGAGAAAAUGAAGUAAUAGAAUAAUCAGUAAGAUUUCCCAACCGUUCAAGAUAGUACAGUUGACGAUUCGAUAUUUCAUAUAUCUCAAGCAGAAACAAGAAUUAAGCAGCAGAAAAAAAUUACAUUGAACAUAGGCAUAAGCAUAAACAAGAAGGCACCAAAUGACCUUUGAAAAGAACUUUUGAGCAUGACUCCUGAUCUGCACAGCUGUCUUUGUUCCUAUAUAUUCUGCAAAUCACCAUGUAAAAACAAAAUGGAAAGAAAAAUACAACAAUAAAUAACAAAACUAUUCAGUUGUUGGUCCUAACAAACAUAUCCUACGAAUCUUAGCCUCAAUCCACAAAAACACUAGCUCUAAAAUGAUAGCAGCAAAAUCUAAACUAAGAGGGAAAAAGCAAGUGAAAAAACCUUCAAUGCGUUGCCAAGCUCGUCCAUAGAGCUUCAAGGCCUCUAGAAACCUAUUAUGCUCUUCCUCGCUCCAUCUUUCACGUUGUUUCGUAAUAGUAUAAGGCUUCCUAGUCUAUCAUUUAACAUACAAAAUUCAAUGGUCCAAAUUAUAACAAACACAAACCCCCAUUUUUUUACAAAGCUUCAUUUAAGAGAAGAGUUUACCUUAAUAACUAGUUCUUCACCAGAGGAGUAUGUGUCCAUUGAAACAGCGUCACCGCUGCUUCAAAUCCUCUCUAACAAGCAAAGAGUAUAUCACAAACCUCCUUUCAUUUCUUCCAACAUCCAAUACGACAAAUAGUAAUGCCGUUUUUGAGCUCCACAAAACCUGAUGAAUGCUAUUUAAUACUGCAAAAAGAAAAAACACAAAAGAACAACAACAACAAAUCGAUGGAGAUCCGUCUCUGUUUGUAUUUUUAUUCCAAUUAAAUUAAUAUUAAUUUCUCAUCAUUUAAUAAAAAUAUUUACUUAAUAAAAAUUUGGGGUGAAUGCUAAAUCUCUGGAAAAAUUAAAAUAAAAUAAAUAAAAAUUAAGUAUCCACCGUAACAAAGAGAAGAGACGGCUUCUUCCAAAGAACUUAAAAGAAAAUUCUCACCAAAACGAACCCGUAGACGCCAAAACCUUUAAUAGAAAAUGAUACGAAAAAAAAAAAGAAACUUUAAUUAGUAAUCAACAACACACUUCCACUGUUCCACAUCCAAUCUAUCUAUUGACAGCCAAUAAUAAUUCUUCACCUUCUGUUUGGUCGCCGAGAAAAAAAACAAAAGGAUUCAAAUUCAAUCACUUUUCUUUCGUUACUCUACUCAGCUGCAUAUAAAGAACACAACUUCCAAACUCAGCUUAGCAAAGCCUUUAAGGAAGGCCCUAGAAAUGAAGUGUAAAUACCUUAAAGAGAUAACCAUGGAAGAUGACAACAAUGGAAGCAACGAUCACGUAUCAAAAAUGGGUUCACCGGAAACCAGCCGGAGAGCUCAUAGUUUCCGGCAAUGACAAGAUCGGAAUCAACAGAAUUGGAAAAAUUAAAAGUAGUCUUUUUUGGGAGAAAAGAACUUGAAUAAACCCAAAAAAAAAAAGUGAAAGCAAGCUUAUUUUCUGGUGAUAAACUGAAAAAACACCAGAAACUACAGUAUGGGGAAGAAACAAAAGGAGAAAUCUCAGCCACUACAAUUUCAUGAGGAUUUUUUUUUUGGAAAAUUACAAAAAUUGGGCAGAAAAUUAUGUGAGGCUAUAAAAGAAUGAACGGUAAGAUACAUUAGAUGUUGCCAAGUGGCAAUAAUUUAGUGGCUGAUUCAACUAAAAGCCCACCGUUGCACUUUUUCCCUUAUUUUUUUGAUCUUUUUUUCUUUUUGCCCUUCUUGUUUCCUACCUUCAUCUUCAAAUAUCAGCCACAAGCUCCCAAUGGUCUUGGUGUUAAAUUAGUAAAAGCGCCAUUUGGUAUACCACAUGGUUCCUGCCGUCAACGUUUACGCAAUUCGUUGGCGUGGGCAACCGGUACGUGUCGGUUACAGGGGUAGCUUUGGUGUUAAAAGCACCGGAUUUGUGACCAUUAGCCACCGUAUGAGGUGAUGAGAUUUUAGGGUUGCAACAAAUCUAGGGAUAUGCUAUGCUCCCUUCCAUAAGUACUUGUAUUUUUUAUAGAUUUGAAAUUUAGUUCCUGUACUUUUAUUUUUAGGAAUUUAGUCAUUUUACUUUUCAAAUUUUUAAAUUCAGGUUUUACUGUUAACAUUGUUAAAAUUAUUUGUUAAAUUCAAGUUCAUUAUAAUAUUAUUUUUUUAGUUAAGUUGCUACCAAGUGAAUUUUUUUUUAUUUCAAUAUGUAAUAUAAGCCAAUUUAACGAAAAAAAUUAUAACAAUGUUAACAAUUGAACCUAAAUUUUGAAAUAUAGAAAGUAAAGAGACUAAAUUUUAAAUUUACAAAGAGUACAGGGACAUGACAUAUUUUAACCUUUUUUAUUAAACUUGUGAGUUACAACUUAAUUCCUAAAUUUGAAUUUCAUUAGAGUAUAUUAGCGUGUCGCUCUAAUAUUAGGUCACAUUGUCAUUUGAAAAUUUUAAAAAUUUUAUAUGAUAUCUAAAGAAUGCAAAAGGAAAAAAUUAAAGAAAUUCAUGUGGCGAUGGGAGAUAAUCUUAUAAUGUCACAUUAUUAUACUUUAACAAGAUCUAAGAUAAGAAACCAAAUUGAGAAAAACUAUCAAGCUUAAAGACUAAUGUGGAUAAAAAAAAAGUUGAAGGAUCAAGAUGAAAAUUUUAUCAAAUUUAAGAUCUAAAUGUUGCUUUAUGAUUAUUUUUUUUUAUCUUUUUAAGAUAAGAGUAAACUCCAUCAAUAUUCUCUAAACUUCAUUUAAAAAAAUGAUGUAUCAUGUUUUGCCAUUAAUAAUAAUCAGACUAAGCUCAUUUUAAAACAACGCCCCUAUUUAUUGUAAUGAUAUAGCAUUAUUCUUAUUCAAGUGCCUUGAUGUCCUCCGCUAAUGGUUGGAGCCUCCAAUCGAUGGACCUUACAUCCUGCUCAAAACUCUUGCAUAAAGCUUUCAUGUUAGGUGCAAAGAUACCAAUAGUGAAUCCAAACCUCUUUGCCUCAAUCAUUGCUUCUCUUAUUACGAAUAAAAUAGCUUGCUUAGUGGUAACCUCAUGUAAUGUGCUACAAAAACUUGUAAAUUUUAUUCAUUGAAUAUUAAAGAUUGUUAGAGACACUCCGAGGAAGAUAGUCCCUUUCUUCCAAGCUACCAAAGCAAUUCCCGAUAUAGUACCAUGAGGAACAUUCGAUCUAAUUGAUUUGCUCUGUUGUAUUCGAAAAUACCUCUCCGUAGCAUUCUUCCAUUUCUUGUCCUCAAACACCUAUAUUUCAUAGUCCUUGAAGAUUUCAAACCCUGUUGAUUACACUUAAGGAUUAACAUCAUAUCCUUUAAAAUAAUAUUCAUUUAUAUGAAUCCGUAUAUUCUAUAAGAUGCAAAUAAUCACUUAAUGCGUAUCAUCUAUUAAUAAAAGAGAAAAAUUGAUGUUGAUUGUAACACCCCUAACCCGUAUCCGCUGCCAGAACAGGGUUUCAGAGCAUUACUACCAUUUACAGAUCACUAAAAAAAAUUUAAAUACUUACCGAUUCAAUGCAUCAUAUAAAUAAAUAUAUUACCAUUCAAUCAACAGUUUGACACUUGUAUAAGCAUCAAACAACAACAUUGUUAGUAUACUUGCACAUAUCUCAUAUAAAGUCAACAUUGAUAUAUCUAUUUUCUCGACAUAUCGCACUUGAGUUUAAUAAUAGUCUCAACUUACAUAAUUUCCUUGUAUCAACAUAUCAAAGAUAAUCAUAUAUGUACAUGUCAUGAAACAUAUCAUGCUCUUACCGUUUCUUCAUAAGCAUAUAUCAUUCAUUUCAUUAUAUCAAUAUUUCAUACUCCAUCAUUUCCAUAUAUUUUAUGUAUAUUUAUUCCGGUAAUAGCUUAUAUCAAACUUAACAUAAAUUAUAUUCCAUGUACUUAUACUUAUUUCGUUUAUCUAUCUUCAUAAUUAUUUCAUAUAACCAUUCGUCAUCUGAUACAUAUUACCUGAAUAUCAAUUGUUCAACAGAUGUUAGAGCGUCUCCCAUCCACGGUCUUAUUUAUCUUUGACAUGAUGCCAUAGUGUCUUUCAACUAUGGUCUUACUCAUUUUCUGUCAUGUUGCCAUGGUAUCUUUCAACCAUGGUCUUGUUCAUUUCAUAUCACGUUGCCAUGGUAUCUUUCAACCAUGGCCUUACACAUUUCAUAUCUGGUUGCCAUGGUAUCUUUCAACCAUGGCCUUACACAUUUCAUAUCAGGCUGCCAUGGUAUCUUUCAACCAUGGCCUUACACAUUUCAUAUCAGGUUGCCAUGGUAUCUUUCAACCAUGGUCUUACACAUUUCAUAUCAGGCUGCCAUGGUAUCUUUCAACCAUGGUUUUACACAUUUCAUAUCAGAGAGCACACUCCCGCGAACCUCAUCCUUACAGUGGGAUUACCAGUCCAGGCUAAAUCCCUUGUAAUAUAAACUCAUAGAGUAUUGUCGGGAUUACCAGUCCAGGCUAAAUCCCCUGCAACGACAAUUACUCUAAUGAGCUUGGAUCUGAAUUACCAGUCCAGGCUAAAUUCAGACCCUAAUUCGGAUUACCCGUCCGGGCUAAAUCCAUUUUACACGUAUUCUUCGGGAGGGCUAUAUCAAGAUAGGAUCACCCGUCUGGGCUAGAUCCUUUUUACCGUCAAUUCCUUUUCAGAGAUCCAUCGAAUUUUCCUUUCAUUCAACCGAGAUUUCUUCCCAUUUUAUCAAAUAUAUCAAUGUUUCAUAAAUUUUCAUACAAUGAACAUUCAAAUCAUAUUCACAUCAAUAACAUACAAUCUCAAGUAUUUAAGAAUAUAAUUCAAGUUACACGAACUUACCUCAUUGCUUGUUUGUGUUUAUAAUUUCAUUAAUCCGAUAUCUUUUCUUUUCCACAAUCAAGUCUCAUAUUUGAGUCGUCCGGAUCUUUAUAAAUAAAUUUGAUCAUCAUUUUCAUUCAUUUCAUCUUCUAAUGCAUUUAAUUAAUGCUCUAGGCAAGAUUACCAUUUUGCCCCUAAACUUUUAAUUAAUGACAAUUUCGUCCUUAGGGUCAAGAAAAUAAAAUUCUUGCAAUUUAAUCCUUAUUUCCAGCUAUUAUUCUCAUAUAUAUUGAUAACAGUCCAUGGAUUCUAUAAAAUAUCAUAAUUUUCCAUAAUUUCAACACUUUUCAAUUUAAUCCCUAAAACAUGUUUUCCCCCGAUCUUGAACUAAAUUAAUAAUUUCAUUCAAUUUUGUAAUUUAAAUAAUAAAAUAAUCCAUUUCAUGCAAUUUGGUUAUUUUUGACAUUUUUACAAAAUUACCCAUAAAGUUUUACUUUUAUUCAAUUUAGUCCCUAAGCCUAAAAUAUGCAAAUUAACCAUGCUUAAUGAAUAUUCAUAUAUUUUUUCCUCCUCCUCCUCUCCAUUCCACAUACUUGAUGUAUGUAGCACACUUGUAAGUAACAUUAUCUAAAUCUUUAUUAUUUACUUUUAUGAAUAUUCAAGCUGUCCAUCUGUGUCAUAGUCACUAAAUUAUUUAUAUCUGGAUCUAUAGGACUCCAAAUUAAUAUCCGCUAAUUUUCCCUGAAACUAGACUCAUAUAUCUUCUUACCAUAAAAUUUUCAGAAUUUUUGGUUUAGUCAAUAAGUACAGUUUAUUCUUUAAAUUUACCCCUAUUCUGCUGUCUGACAGUUGUGACCCUUCUUCACUAAAAAUUAAUUAUCUCCUUGUACAGAAUUCGAAUGAUGUUCAUAUUUGUUUCUAUUGAAAAUAGACUCAUUCAGGAUUAUAAACAUAUAAAUUUAAUCCCCUAAUUAUUUUUAUCCAAUUUUUUUAUGAUUUUACAAAUUCAGAAUAGGGGAACCCGAAAUCAUUCUGACCUUGUCUCACAAAAUUCAUCAUAUUUCAUGAUUUAGAAUUCCAUUGCUUACAUAAUUUCUUCUAUAAGAAACUAGACUUAAUAAGAUUUAAUUUAAUAUUUUAUUCAUCCUAUAAUUAGAUUUCUACAAUUUUUGAUGAUUUUUCAAAGUUAGACUACUGCUGCUGUCCAAAACUGUUUUAGUACAAGAUAUUAAUUACCAUGUUAUAACAUCCUUAUUUUCUUUUUCUACACCAUUGCUCAUCACUUUCUCUUAUUUUUUCUUCACUAACAUAUCAAGAACAUAGGACCUUAUGUAAGAAAACUCUACUAUAACAUUAUUUCCAUGCUUUAUCAAUAAUAACAAACUUAAAAACAUAUUGAAAUCUUGAUGUACUUACCUUUUCUUAUUGACUUCAAUCUUUAACUUGAUUUUUCUCUCUCCUCCAGCUUCGAUUUCUUGAAUCCAACUUGAUAUUCUUGCUCCCCAUCAUCUCCUUGCUAUCUUUCUCUCUUGAUGGCUAUGGAAAUUCUUUCAAUUUUUAGGUGAAAAUAAUGAAUUUUUGGUGGAAGGACUAAAUUGUAAAGAAAGCAAACUUCUUUUCUUCUUCUUAUCUUGCGUUAGUUUGCAUGGGAAAGGAAAUGUGUUGAUAAUUCUUCAUCUUUCCUUCCUUUUAUACUAAAUAAAUAAUAAUAUAAUAAUAAUAAACAUCUCAUAAAAUAUUAAUAAAAUAAUAUUUAUCUAAUUAAUUAAUUUAAAAUAUCAUCAACAUAAUCAUUACAUUCUAGAAUUCUCUCUCUUAAUUAAUUGACCAUUUUGCCCUUCAUGAUCUUUUAGAAUUCCAUCCUUGAGUCAUCACUUAAUUUGGUAAAAUUACGAUUUAGUCCCUCAUAAUUUUUUUACCUAUUCAAUUUGGUCCUAAUUCAUCAAUUUUUCUUGGUUUCUAGAUCAUUCCACCCUUAAAAUAUUUGCACCAUUAGUCCUUCAAUUUUUUAUAUUUACACUUCAACCCCUUAAAUUUUGAGUAUUUACUCUUGUGCAACAAGACUUUUCUCAUCUUUGCAAUUUAGUCCUUUCUUGAAUUAAUAUAUCAUAAUAUACUUCUCAAUAUUGACAUCACUCAAAAACUCCCUUUUGGUCACUUUAUUUCCUUAUUUUACUAUAUCACGGAUAAUAUUUUACUGUAAAAAUUUUCGGGGUAUUAUAUUGAUGCAUUUCCUCCUUAAUAUAACAUGCAAGAUAAAACUCUGAAUAUCACAAUUAUUAACUUCAGUCGGCUUAAAACCUAAAAUCAAUUCCAACCAAACUACUCUAACUAAGAAGAGAUGAUCAUAGGAUUCCAUAUAUUAGCCACAAAAGCUACAAGUUGUAUCAAAACAAUUAAUUCUUCUACCUAUUUCCUCUUUUAAAGGCAAAACUUUGACACAUAUUUUUUAUAGAAAUAGUAAUUCAAAAGAUUAAUAAUUAAUUUGAACUAUCAUUUUAAUAUUUUUAAAAUUUUUUUAAUUAUUUUAAAAAUUACUUAAAAAUUAUUAAAAUUUUAACCUAAUCCUUUAAACCGGAGCUUUUGGGUUUUACUUUUUUUUUUUUAAAACUUAAUCCUUUGAUGUUUUUCUUAUUCUUUUUAAAUCACACCAAACUGUUAUUUUAGCGUAUACCAAUGAUUAAAGUAUACAAAUUCUCAAAAUUAGAACAGUUAUUUUUAUAAUAAAAUUAUUAAAAUAUAAAAAUAACUCAAUAUUGAAUCAGUUAUUUUUCAAUUUAACAGAUAUUAUUAUGGAAAAAAAAGCUGGGUUUUAAUUAAGAGAACCCAAAACCCCAAUCUUUAAAUUCUACUGAUUUAAUCAAAUUAGCAAAAGUUAAAAAAAAAAAAAAACGACAGUUAGACUACAAGGGAAAAACCAAAAGAGAAAAAAAUUUAUUUUCGUUCUUUUAAUGAUUUUUAUAAUUUUUAAUUAUUUUUAAGAUUUAAAAAAUUGAAAAUAUCAAAAUGAUAUUUUUAACUAUAAUUUAAUAAACAAAUUAAUUAUUAAUCCUUUAAAUUAAGUAUCAUGUUGUUCCCUAACAGAAAUUAACGGACGAAUAAUUAAAAUAUAAUAUUUAAAUAAUAUUAAUAAUCAUUUCGUAUCUUUUAAAAAUUCAAUCAUUCAAUUAAAUAAAAUUAAAUAUUCAAUCGUUACACAAAUUACUAGAGCCAUUGAAAUAAACCAAAAACGGUUCUUAAUUUGUCUACAAAGUCAACACUCUAUCCUAUACACUCACAUGAAUAAAAUUUCAAUUCGGUCAGCCCCUUAAUUAUUAGAUUUAUUCAUGUUAUGCUAAUUAUUCAUUAUCAUCCAAUUCAUACAUUAAUUUGCCUUAAUUAUCCUAAAUUAACAUAGUUAACAAUUAAUCAAGAGGGAAAACAGUUCAUUUGAGUACUCACUAUUUAAUAAUUUCCAGCCAAUAAUGAAAUCAAGUCCUUGAUAUAAUUACACUCAAAUCCCUCUAAACUUCUAUUACUUUUUAAAGUAGUCCCCACCAAUUCACAUUUGUAUCCCUCCACUUUAAGCAUUUAUGUACUAGAUAAUCCCCACUUCAGUUUUCCUACUAUUUUCUCUUAAAUUACACCAUCUCAAUUUACUUAUUUCAUCAUAAAUAUUUAAGUUCACUGUUUAUCUCGAAAUUUACUAUCCGGAUGAUACCAUUUCGUGGUCUAAAUUUUGAAUAGUUUAAAUAUUAUAAAUUUUAAAAAAAAUCUCAAUAAAUUUUGAUAUUGAAUAAAUUGUUCUUCUAAAAAAAUCAAAUCAAUUUAAUCCCUGACAAGUUUAAAAUAAACACUUAAGACAAUUAAUCACACUGUAAUUAUUUUUCAUGAUAUAUAUAUUAUUAAUACAAUUACAAAUUUAACCCACAACAUUUAUAUAUUCUAUCAAUCCAAUUUAGAUGUAAUUAAUUUAAUCCACAAAUUUUUCUCAUUGUCAACAUUUAUGUAGAAUAUAUAAACAUUAAAAAUUAAAUUUAUUAUUAUACUAAUAAAAAUUAUAUAUAUAAUUGACGGAAAAACAUCACUAUUAUAACCAAUUAUCAUUAGUUGCUAUUUUUUAAAUCUACAAACAUCAAUUACUCCAAUUUUGAGAAAAAUUUAAAACCGACUAGAGUAACCAAAAACAAACUUUACUACCGGACAUCCAGAGAAAAUAUCCAUAGUAGAUGUAGAUCAACUAUAUGCUACGGAAUUAAUUUCAAAAAAGUUCUAUGCUGGAGAGAUGUCGGUACCAUUUGUAUCUUCGUCUUCAAAAUCUUGAAAAAUAUGUUAUUAUUGUUUUGGGAAAUAUGUUUUCCUGAACUAAAGUAAAUUGGAAAAUAUUUAGUGCAUUGGUAAUUUUUAAAUAUUAUUUUUGGAAUAAAAAAUUAUAUUCUCAAUGUAUUAUAUACUAAUUCAAAUAAAUUUUAGUUAAAAAUGAUGAUAAACUAAUUUUUAAUAAAAGUAAUAUUAAGUACUAAACAAUUAAAUACAUCAAAAGUAACAUGUUUAUUGUAUAUAAAAGUGAAUAAAAUAUAUACAAAACAUAAAUAAUAUGAAAAUAUAUUAUUUAAUUUUAAUAUUGACAACACUACUUAUCAGAUAUAUGUAUACAUUUGCAAAGCUUCCGAAAACAAAAAACCACAAUACAAAAACAAUGAGUCAAUUGGUAACUAAACACUAAAGCAAACAGACAAGGCUUGGAAGGAAAAAAAAGAGUAGAUAUACUUUUUGGUUCUCUUAUGACUUUAUUAUUUAGAUUGGUACUUAAUAAAAGAGUCGACUUCUUGGGGCAGCCAACUCAAACUCUCAACAAUUGAAAAUAUUGUAUUGACAUUAAGGUUUUGUCUAGCUUCCAUAGAAAGUCAUGUACAGUUCACAAGAAAAGUACUUUAAUUAAUGGAAAUAGAUAUCUACAAAACUCGGAAAAAAUAUCAAUAUAAAGUGUGCAAAUAAUAAUGAAAAUACUUAGGUACCCCACAACUUAAGACACCAAGGUACCUCCAUUAUUAUUCACCCACCUAUACUCUCACUUCUCCCGAGUCUUGCAGGUGACUAUUUCCACCAACUGAGGUACCCCUUGAUAAAUCGUACAUGACUCUCCAUAAAAGUUAAGGACAAAACCUCGACACAAGGAUAAAACCUUCAAUUAUAGAGACCGAAUCAACUACCCGACAAACGACAUUCCAAGUAGGAGCCAAUCCCCCCUCAAUAGUACCUAAUUUCUUUAUAUAUUUUUUUCAGACUAAAAUUUGAUUUCCACCACACAUGUUAGCCCAUUUUUGAACCUUCGUUAAUCUUGAUUUAACCACAUGGGACACAUCAUGUCAUCAACUAUGUACCUACCAUGUGUAGUAAAUUUAUUGGACCACAUAAUCCAAUUUUAAAAGAGUUACAAAAAAUUGACUAAAACCUGUAAGAAAAGCCAAAUUCGAGUACCAAUCUGAACAAAAAAUAUAUAUGUACCAAUUUAUACAUCAAAACCAAACGUACCAAAAAAUAUAUCUACCUAGAAAAAACUAAGCAUAAAAACAGUUGAACUAUGAACUCAGUGGGGCAAUCUGUUUAAAUUGCCUUUUCAUGCAUAAUAAAGGUUUCAGCUUCAGCUAGAGUUCACUAAGCAAAAGGUAUAAGAAUAAUGAUAAAGACAAAGGCAUUCAGAUUCAAUACUUCCUUUAAAUGCUUCUAUCUCAGAGGGAGUUUUUUAACUGCAGUAGCAAGCAUAAAAAAGUCCAGGAAAGCGAAUAAGUCAAUGUAGAUAUUAGAUAGUACACAACACCACCUACACGAAAAGUCUCGUGAGCUGCAAUCGAAUAAAAGUCUUUUAAGAUCAACAUAUGAAAAGGAAAUAAGAUAUGGGGGAAGAACAUUAGAGAUUGCAUUCAACAAACAAACUUUGCCUUUGUUAAUUGUAUGCAAUUGUGUAAAAGUCAAGUUGACGGUUCCCCUUCCAAGCGUACCCUCUUGGGACAUUUCUCUUCACCUUGACUGCCAGUGUUCAUCACUCUGUUUUCUUUGGCUUCCACAGAACACCUUUUGUAAGGUUUAAAUCCAGUUCGGCCAGCUUUUAGUUUUGAAUGUCCUAAUCCAAUAGUCAGCAGGCCCUCUUCUGUACUGUUCUUGUCUCUUGAUAAUGCAUUUUUCACAGUUUCUUGAUGAUCAGAACAAGAACCCCAUGUAUUGCUGUUGAGAUCUAAAGUUGAUAUUUCUUCGUCUUCCUCAGCUGGAUUUUGCUUGUCUUCACCUAUAUUUUCCUUUUGCUGCCCCUUGCUCUUGCCGUCAUGUGGAGGAGAAAAGCUUUGUGGGAGUACCUCCCGGGAGAAGAGGGCUUGAAAAGCUAGCCGCCCCUGAAUAAGUAGUGGAGCCAUACAGUGGCAAUUGUACAAAACAAUUAGAAUAAUAAUUAAAGUUGGGCUAUAUGGGAAAAUUGACAUAUCGACUCACCUCUUCAGAUACCUCCUUCCAAGAAUCACUCAGGUUGCUAUUGCUUCUACUACUACGACGGUAACAUUCAACUUGUGGAUGAUUGGGGUCAGCUCCUUUUGAAUCUUCCUUGUCUUUUUCAUGUUUUUCUAACGCAUCUGUCUCUACCUCACUGCUUGAAGGAGUGUUGGAGCCACAUGAGGACCGGUCAACUUGUUUUUUGUUCUUUGUUUUAUUUGCAUCCUGAGGCUCAAUUACUUCAGCAGCCGUCUCAUCAUCGGUAGCUUUCACUCCAGUAUUCACUUUUGCAUCUCCUCUCUCUUCACAGUCCGACGAUGAUGAAGUAGGUGAUUUAGAUGAUGAAUGCUGACCUUGCAAAGCUUCAGAGUUCUCAGGGUCUAGUUGCUCAACCUGCAGAGAUAGAGCUUGAUCAGUUUUACCCUUUUGUUCUGUCUUGGCAGCUGGAGGUUGACCAUUCUCCAUUGGUGGAACUGCAGCAGUGGAUGCAGGAAAACAGGUAAAGCCUGUAUGCAGAGGAGCACAUACAGGAAACAGUCCAUGGGCGGCCCACCAUGCAGUGGCAGCUGCUACAGUUGCAGCAGCGAUUGCAGCCAUUCUUGGAGCAGAGUUCAUUUGUCUAGAUGGGAAACCUCCUAAGCCGCCUGCAGGAGAAUCGCCAGAGCUUUCAAUAUUCGCAUAAGGCCAAAAUCUUGCUGCAAAGCUUGCUGCAGCAUGGGCAGCUGGAUUCUGUAACAAAGUAGAUACAAUGAGACUGGAAAAAGUGGAGGAGACAUGUAGAAAUGAUCGAUAGUCCUCUUGAUUUGGGCGAAGAUGCAUAAAGGGAGUAUGAAAAG
rnacentral:lncRNA from 1 species